rnacentral:sRNA from 1 species
AGCGGGAGCGGGAGCCGGGCCGCAGCUGGGGCUGGAGACGCCGUCGCAGCCUGAACGGAGUGUGCGACGGAUUGGGAGGUUUGUCUACAGAUUUUGAGCGUUCGAAGUUGACCCCUGACUAUACUUUGCUGCUCCCUCAGCCUUUGAAGAAAUGUCUGUCACGUAUGAUGAUUCCGUUGGAGUAGAAGUGUCCAGCGACAGCUUCUGGGAGCUGGUAUCAACUCCGCAGUGCUGUGGUCGUCCGCCUCCUCCAUGAUGGAUGUUCGUUGUGUGGCGGAGCGACUGCUCAGUGAUGGUCUGCAGGGAUCUGAGAGACUCAGGUGCACACUGCCAACUGUACAUCUUCCCAGGUCGGGAACUACAAGCGGACUGUGAAGCGGAUCGACGAUGGCCACCGCCUGUGCAGCGACCUCAUGAACUGCCUGCAUGAGCGGGCACGCAUCGAGAAGGCGUAUGCGCAGCAGCUCACUGAGUGGGCCCGGCGCUGGAGGCAGCUCGUGGAGAAGG